GAUGAACGCUGGCGGCGUGCUUAAUACAUGCAAGUCGAACGGAAGGGCGCUGCGUUUGUUGGGUGGUCGAUUGGGGAAGGGGGGAGUAACACGCGAGUAACCUGUCCUUGUCAUAGGGGGAAAUUUUGGAAAAAGGGUAUAUUACAGGAGAGGAGCUUUUGCUGCAUGGGGGUGGAUGGAGAGAUACGGCGGUUGGGGAUGUACUCGCGGCUUAUCCGCUUGUUGGGCAGGUAGUGGCUUACAAAGUGUUUGACGGAUAGCCGGCCUGAGAGGGUGACCGGCCACAUUGGUACUGCGGUACGGACCAGUAGCGUACGGGCGGCAGCAGUGGGGAAUAUUGCACAAUGGGCGGAAGCCUGAUGUAGCGACGCCGCGUGCGGAAUGACGGCUUUCGGGUUAUAAACAGAUUUCGACUGUGACGAAGAGUGCGUGACGGUAAUGGGUAAAGAAGCAACGGCUAACUACGUG
rnacentral:rRNA from 1 species